UACGAAGGGUGCAAACGUUGCUCGGAAUCAUUGGGCGUAAAGCGCGCGUAGGCGGCUUUGCAAGCCGGAUGUGAAAUCCCCGGGCUUAACCUGGGAACUGCAUUCGGGACUGCAUUGCUAGAGUAUGGGAGAGGGAAGUGGAAUUUCAGGUGUAGCGGUGAAAUGCGUAGAUAUCUGAAGGAACAUCAGUGGCGAAAGCGACUUCCUGGACCAAUACUGACGCUCAUGUGCGAAAGCGUGGGGAGCAAACAGG
rnacentral:rRNA from 1 species